rnacentral:rRNA from 1 species
UACGAAGGGGGCUAGCGUUGUUCGGAAUUACUGGGCGUAAAGCGCACGUAGGCGGAUAUUUAAGUCAGGGGUGAAAUCCCAGAGCUCAACUCUGGAACUGCCUUUGAUACUGGGUAUCUGGAGUAUGGAAGAGGUGAGUGGAAUUCCGAGUGUAGAGGUGAAAUUCGUAGAUAUUCGGAGGAACACCAGUGGCGAAGGCGGCUCACUGGACUGGUAUUGACGCUGAGGUGCGAAAGCGUGGGGAGCAAACAGG